rnacentral:lncRNA from 1 species
GAGAGGGCCAGAGGGCAUUGUAUCUUGACAGUAGAGCACACAAGUCAUCCAUCCCUAGUAGGGAGGGGGAGAAAGGGAAAGAAAAGACAUUGCUGUACUUAGGAAGGAGCCUUGCCUGUGCAGCAGGACUGUCUCAAGACAAACACAAAAGGUUGGAUCAUAUAAAGUUCAAGGGCCACUGUCUCCUAGGCUGGGCUCAGAGUCUCGCAGACAUGCUUAGCUUUCAGAUCAAAAACGAUGCAUGUGAACAGGUGAAGGCCCCAUGAGUACUGGCGCCUGCAGCCAAGCCUAACAAACCAAGCUCAAUCUCUAGGACGUGGAUGGUGAGAGCCGUGACACACACGUGCACACACACACACACAAAUGUAAUAAACACUCAAACUGCUUAAGAAGAAAAGGCACAAUCUACCAUGGUCUCUUUGAUAGAGGACACAAAUCCAUCUACACAUCUUCAGAGAGGCCGACAACCAUGGCCUGGCCCCAGCUUAAAUGGGAACACUGCAGCCCUUGAGGUCCCUCAUUUAAGGGUGGCCUUCCUGGAGGCAGUGACCAACAGUUUCCCUCUGAGAACCACAGGAAGUGCAGAGCGUGAUCCUAGUCCUGGGCUCAGUGGGCAGAGGUCAGUCAGAUUCUGAGGCCAGUAGGCUGGGGGGUAGAACAGAGAUGAGUGGUUUCCCACUCGUGUUCAGUGCACUUGUGAGAGCAAACCUUGUGACAUAGGCCCAGAGGAGGGAAGGCCAGAGUGAGACUGCUCUAAUCACCUCAUGCACACACUGGCACCAUACCAAGAGAUUUUAAUAGACAUUCCUAUAUUCCAGCUUUGCCGAAGCCCGACCUGAGGCAUGUGUCUCUCCCACUCACCUUUAGGCAAGCCAGCAGGUAGGAGGCUCUAGCAGUGUCCUCCUGGGACUUUGCAAACCUUGCCCUUGGCUCUGAGAGUCCUGAAGUUCUCAUGUGCCCCCCUCUUCCCAAGAAAGCAGCUUCCCCUGAAACCCUGGCUGGGGCCUGAGAAGAUCUCAUUUCAGCCCCUUUCCCACCCUGCCCAGGGGCCAGCACCGGAGUACACACUUAUGGAUGCACCAGUGGCCAGUGAUUCCCACUCUGGGAAUCUGAGUCCUGUUGAGCACCACAGUGUCCUCCACCUGCCACUUCAGGGCCUCAUCAAGGGCUGUCUGCCUCGGCCUGUCUGCCAGCCCUGACAGCUUGGCAUGUGCUGAGGAUGGAGGAGAUGGUGCCCAUGAGACCCACCAGCCAAGGAGGGAAGCGGCCAGCCCACAGGACACCUCGGGGCAACCAGUGCACAGCAUUUGCCAGGUCAGCCAGGUUGCUGAGUAGAGUUAAAACCUCUGAGCAUAUCCUUGCCUCCAUGGCCCUCCGCUUGCUCCUGGGCAGCUGGCUGUGGGAGAGAAGGAGAAGGAGGAGAGCCACUCUUGUUGCCUGCAUUUCCAUAUCCCCC